rnacentral:rRNA from 1 species
AAGGUAGUGUAGUUAAUAGCUGCAGUAUUUGACGUUAGCGACAGAAGAAAGCACCGGCUAACUCCGUGCCAGCAGCCGCGGUAAUACGGAGGUGCGAGCGUUAAUCGGAAUUACUGGGCGUAAAGACGCAUGCAGGUGGUUUGUUAAGUCAGAUGUGAAAGACCCGGGCGUCAACCUACGGAAUAGACAUUUAGUAAACUAGGCAGACUAGAGUACUGUAGAGGGGGUAGGAAUUUCAGGUGUAGCGGUGAAAUGCGUAGAGAUCUGAAGGAAUACCGGUGGCGAAGGCGGCCCCCUCGGACAGAUACUGACACUCGGAUGCGAAAGCGUGGGGAGCAAACAGGAUUAGAUACCCUGGUAG